UUGAAACAGCCGCAACUUUGCAAACAUCUUGUUUAUUGCGCAGCAUACGGAACACUGCUUGUUUCAGCUGGAAUCGUCUUUAACAAAUCCGAAAAAUGUCUUCAAAACAGCAAUCCCGUUGCUCUGGACGGAUAUUAGAUGCACUUUUCCGGUGAUGGCUGAGCGUUACUGCGCAGCUUCCAACUGAGCACGAAGAAGACGAAGACGUAGAUGUGACGUGAGCAACCUGUCUGAAAGUUUACCCUCUCAGCUCUUCUGCAGAUCUUCAGAGAGGGAAGAGAAGGGAAAGGAAAAAAUAAGAGAAAUGACUGUGCAAGGGUCUUAAAUCCAGUGGCCUGAGGGUGGUGGUCAAGCUCCUUCAGUGCCUCUGGUCCACAUACCGCAUCUCCCAUCACUCUUGGGCCAGGAUGUCUACAGAUAAAGAUGGAAUGCGUGAGCAGAACACCUCAGACACUAGCUUUGUGGGGAAAUAAACAACGCAUUAGUUCCACAUUGACUUUGAACAGAAACAGAAGAAGGAAGAGGAGAAGUUAGUCCACAGCAGGAGGAGAGCUGGGGAGUAUUAGUUGGCAGGGACAUUUCAGAGUUGCUCAAGCAUCGCUCGCUCUCUUUCUCUCUUUUUCUGUCCAAUGUUUUUUUGCACUAGUUUGCCAUGUGAUGUUGAUUAGCCGCACCUCAUCUGUCCCUCCCUUCUGUCUUGUCUUUACCAGUUCAUAUUCAUUGAAGCUCUAUGGUUAUUGUUACAAACUACAAAGUCUGACUUAUAUGUUUUAAUGUGAGACAAGCCUUUCAGCUCUUGUGAUCAUUUUCUAUAAAAAUAAACAAGUCAACAUGACCUCCUCCGCCUUAGG